AGCUCCAAUAGCGUAUAUUAAAGUUGUUGCGGUUAAAAAGCUCGUAGUCGGAUUUCUGCUGAGGGUGGCUGGUCCGCCCUCUGGGUGAGUAUUUGGCACAGCCUGAGCAUUUAUCUUGAAAGCACAACUGCACUUGACUGUGUGGUGUGUUAUUGAGAACAUUUACUUUGAGGAAAUCAGAGUGUUUCAAGCAGGUGUUUGGCCUUGAAUACAUUAGCAUGGAAUAAUACUCAAGACCAUGGUUCUUUUUUGUUGGUU
rnacentral:rRNA from 1 species